UGCCAGCCGCCGCGGUAAUACGAAGGGGGCAAGCGUUGUUCGGAAUCACUGGGCGUAAAGCGCACGUAGGCGGAUCGUUAAGUCAGGGGUGAAAUCCCGAGGCUCAACCUCGGAACUGCCUUUGAUACUGGCGAUCUUUGAGUCCGGGAGAGGUUAGCGGAAUACCGAGUGUAGAGGUGAAAUUCGUAGAUAUUCGGUGGAACACCAGUGGCGAAGGCGGCUAACUGGACUGAUACUGACGCUGAGGUGCGAAAGCGUGGGUAGCGAACGGGAUUAGAUA
rnacentral:rRNA from 1 species